UUGGAGGGCAAGUCUGGUGCCAGCAGCCGCGGUAAUUCCAGCUCCAAUAGCGUAUAUUAAAGUUGUUGCAGUUAAAAAGCUCGUAGUUGAAUUUCGGGAUUAGUACGUUGGUCGUGCCUUCGGUACGUACUGGUGUUACUGAUUCCUACCUUCUGACGAACCAUCAUGUCAUUAAUUUGGUGUGGUGGGGAAUCAGGACUGUUACUUUGAAAAAAUUAGAGUGUUUAAAGCAGGCUCGCGCUUGAAUACAUUAGCAUGGAAUAAUGAAAUAGGACGUUGACCCUAUUUUGUUGGUUUCUAGGAUUGACGUAAUGAUUAAUAGGGAUAGUUGGGGGCAUUAGUAUUCAAUUGUCAGAGGUGAAAUUCUUGGAUUUAUUGAAGACUAACUACUGCGAAAGCAUUUGCCAAGGAUGUUUUCAUUAAUCAAGAACGAAAGUUAGGGGAUCGAAGACGACCAGAUACCGCCGUAGUCUUAACCAUAAACUAUGCCGACUAGGGAUCGGAUGAUGUUAUUUUUAAUGACUCAUUCGGCACCUUACGGGAAAC
rnacentral:rRNA from 1 species